UACAGAGGCCUCAAGCGUUGUUCGGAAUCACUGGGCGUAAAGGGUGCGUAGGCGGCGCGGAAAGUCAGGGGUGAAAUCCCGGAGCUCAACUCCGGAACUGCCUUUGAUACUCCCGCGCUUGAGAACUGGAGGGGAGAUCGGAAUUCACGGUGGAGCAGUGAAAUGCGUGGAUAUCGUGAGGAACACUAGUGGCGAAGGCGGAUCUCUGGACAGUAUCUGACGUUGAGGCACGAAGGCCAGGGAGCGAACGGG
rnacentral:rRNA from 1 species